rnacentral:rRNA from 1 species
AUUGAACGCUGGCGGCAGGCCUAACACAUGCAAGUCGAACGAGUGGCGGACGGGUGAGUAAUGUCUGGGAAUCUGCCUUAUGGAGGGGGAUAACUACUGGAAACUGUAGCUAAUACCGCAUACCAUCGGAUGUGCCCAGAUGGGAUUAGCUUGUUGGUGGGGUAACGGCUCACCAAGCCGCCGAUCCCUAGCUGGUCUGCGAGGAUGACCAGACACACUGGAACUGAGACACGGCCCAGACUCCUACGGGAGGCAGCAGUGGGUAAUAUGGCACAAUGGGCGCAAGCCUGAUGCAGCCAUGCCGAGUGUAUGAAGAAGGCCUUCGGGUUGUAAAGCACUUUCAGCGGGGAGGCGUUACUCGCAGAAGAAGCACCGGCUAACUCCGUGCCAGCAGCCGCGGUAAUUC